rnacentral:lncRNA from 1 species
CAUUAUGACGAAGGUUGAUUUAGUCCAGAAAUUAAAAGGAGAAAAAGAUAAAUUUUAGUGCAGUUGGUAUCCAAAUAUUUAUACAAAGGUAACCAUUUUAGUUUUUGUGGGUAACCAAGAGAAAUUUCAGUGCAGUUGGUAACCAAAACUUUCAAAGGUAACAAUUUUAGUUUUUGUUGGUUACAUUUGUAUUAAGGUUUGGCUACCAACUGCACUAUGAAAAAAAAAUCUAUAAUAGAUUUUUUAUAAUUAAUUGGUAACCCAAUAAAACUGAAUUGGUUACCUUUGUAUUAAGGUUUGGC